rnacentral:rRNA from 1 species
UACGUAGGUGGCAAGCGAUACUCGGAAUCACUAGGCGUAAAGCGCAGGUAGGAGGUUUGGUAAGUCUCUUGUGAAAGCUCCCGGCUUAACUGGGAGAGGUCAAGGGAAACUACUAGGCUAGAGUGCGGUAGAGGUAGCUGGAAUUCCCGGUGUAGCGGUGAAAUGCGUAGAUAUCGGGAGGAAUACCUAUGGCGAAAGCAGGCUACUGGACCGUCACUGACUCUGAUCUGCGAAAGCUAGGGGAGCAAACAGG